CAAUGGGCUGCGGGCGCGCGCCUCACGGUUCUCGGCACCAGCCGGUAGCGGCCGCGGGACGGUUACGCCGUUCGCCCCAGGGAUCCCUCCACCGCUGCGCGCCUCGCGACCUCCGAUUGGAGCCGUGGGCGCCGCCCAGGCCCGGCUGCAGCCGGAGGAAGGGAGGAUAGGAAAGAACCUUCUGUUGGAUGAAAUAAAAGCAAACACUGGGCCUUCUGCGCUGCCUCCACCUCCACGCCCCUCCCGCGCCUGCCGCCCUCCCGGAUUGCACGGAAAUAGCUUCUCCAGGCUCCCCGGCCGCCCCUUCGCGGUGACUCGCAGAAAGAGCUUCCUGAGCCGGGGCCGGUAGGAAACAAAGGAUGUGGGGAGCUGGCGGAAGGGGCCCACGUGGCUGCCGCCGGAUUCCUGCCCCCUCCUCGGCCUCCGCACGCGCAGCAGGGCCUGGGGCCCUGGAGUCAGCCCCUGUUCCGCGGAGGGCGGGUAGAGGAGUAGAAGUCAUUCUGGCCACCGAUUGUGAUACUGCCUACACCCGGACAUCCCUGCAGGUUGUGUGCGUACAUUCGUGCAAUGCGAUUUGGGUGAGCAUGAAAUGUGUGCCAGACCCCGCACCAAAAAAACCUCCGAGAAAAUAACUUAA